UGGGGAAUUUUGGACAAUGGGGGAAACCCUGAUCCAGCAACGCCGCGUGAAUGAAGAAGGCCUUAGGGUUGUAAAGUUCUUUUGUCAGGGAAGAAAGUUUCUGUGCUAAUACCAUAGAAUGAUGACGGUACCUGAAGAAUAAGCACCGGCUAACUACGUGCCAGCAGCCGCGGUAAUACGUAGGGUGCAAGCGUUAAUCGGAAUUACUGGGCGUAAAGCGUGCGCAGGCGGAUAUGUAAGUUAGAAGUGAAAUCCCCGGGCUCAACCUGGGAACUGCUUUUAAGACUGCGUAUCUAGAGUUUGUCAGAGGGGGGUGGAAUUCCAAGUGUAGCAGUGAAAUGCGUAGAGAUUUGGAGGAACACCGAUGGCGAAGGCAGCCCCCUGGGAUAAAACUGACGCUCAUGCACGAAAGCGUGGGUAGCAAACA
rnacentral:rRNA from 1 species